rnacentral:sRNA from 1 species
UAUUCUGCCCUACAGGGAAGGAUGAGAAGCUUCGACUAAGGUUCGACUCGAGCGAAGCGAGAGAACGUUGCCGCAGGCAACGGCCCGAAGGGCGAGGCGCUUUAGCGCCGAGUAAUCC